rnacentral:rRNA from 1 species
UUUUAGAAUUUAAUUUAAAGUCUAACCUGCCCACUGAAUAAAUUUUAAAUGGCCGCAGUAUCCUAACUGUGCAAAGGUAGCAUAAUCAUUAGUCUUUUAAUUGAAGGCUGGAAUGAAUGGUUGAAUGAAAUAUUAACUGUUUCAUAAAAAUUAUAAAUAAAAUUUUAUUUUUUAGUCAAAAAGCUAAAAUAAUUUUAAAAGACGAGAAGACCCUAUAAAUCUUUAUACUUAAGUAAUUUUAAUUACUUAGAUAAAUUAAAUUAUAAUUAUUAUAAGUAUUUUAUUGGGGUGAUAUUAAAAUUUAAUAAACUUUUAAUUUAUUAUUUACAUAAAUUAAUGAAUUAUUGGUCCAUUUAUUAUGAUUAAAAAAUUAAGUUACUUUAGGGAUAACAGCGUAAUUUUUUUAGAGAGUUCAUAUUGAUAAAAA